rnacentral:rRNA from 1 species
UACGUAGGGACCAAGCGUUGUUCGGAUUUACUGGGCGUAAAGGGCGCGUAGGCGGCCUUCUAAGUCAGACGUGAAAUCCCCGGGCUCAACCCGGGAACUGCGUCUGAUACUGGAAGGCUUGAAUCCGGGAGAGGGAUGUGGAAUUCCAGGUGUAGCGGUGAAAUGCGUAGAGAUGUGGAGGAACACCAAUGGCGAAGGCAGCCUUCUGGGCCAACACUGACGCUCAUGCACGAAAGCGUGGGGAGCAAACAGG